rnacentral:rRNA from 1 species
AUACGUGGGGGGCGAGCGUUGUCCGGAAUGAUUGGGCGUAAUGGGCGCGUAGGCGGCCCGGUAAGUCUGGAGUGAAAGUCCUGUUUUUAAGAUGGGAAUUGCUUUGGAUACUGUCGGGCUUGAGUGCAGGAGAGGUAAGUGGAAUUCCCAGUGUAGCGGUGAAAUGCGUAGAGAUUGGGAGGAACACCAGUGGCGAAGGCGACUUACUGGACUGUAACUGACGCUGAGGCGCGAAAGUGUGGGGAGCAAACAGGAUUAGAUACCCUGGUAGUCCACACUGUAAACGAUGAAUGCUAGGUGUAGGGGGUAUCGACCCCUUCUGUGCCGCAGUCAACACAAUAAGCAUUCCGCCUGGGGAGUACGGCCGCAAGGUUGAAACUCAAAGGAAUUGGCGGGG